GAUCAUGGCUCAGAUUGAACGCUGGCGGCAGGCCUAACACAUGCAAGUCGAGCGGUAGAGAGGUGCUUGCACCUCUUGAGAGCGGCGGACGGGUGAGUAAUGCCUAGGAAUCUGCCUGGUAGUGGGGGAUAACGCUCGGAAACGGACGCUAAUACCGCAUACGUCCUACGGGAGAAAGCAGGGGACCUUCGGGCCUUGCGCUAUCAGAUGAGCCUAGGUCGGAUUAGCUAGUUGGUGAGGUAAUGGCUCACCAAGGCGACGAUCCGUAACUGGUCUGAGAGGAUGAUCAGUCACACUGGAACUGAGACACGGUCCAGACUCCUACGGGAGGCAGCAGUGGGGAAUA
rnacentral:rRNA from 1 species